CCUACGGGUGGCAGCAGUGAGGAAUAUUGGUCAAUGGGCGCGAGCCUGAACCAGCCAAGUCGCGUGAGGGAAGACGGUCCUAUGGAUUGUAACCCUCUUUUGUCGGGGAGCAAAAGACGCCACGCGUGGCGUUCCGAGAGUACCCUACGAACAAGCAUCGGCUAACUCCGUGCCAGCAGCCGCGGUAAUCCGGAGGAUGCGAGUGUUAUCCGGAUUUGGUGUGUUAAAAGGGUGCGCAGGCGGAAGAUCAAGUCAGCGGUAAAAUUGAGAGGCUCAACCUCUUCGAGCCGUUGAAACUGGUUGUCUUGAGUGAGUGAGAAGUAUGCGGAAUGCGUGGUGUAGCGGUGAAAUGCAUAGAUAUCACGCAGAACUCCGAUGGCGAAGGCAGCAUACCGGCGCUCAACUGACGCUCAUGCACGAAAGUGUGGGUAUCGAACAGGAUUAGAUACCCUAGUAGUC
rnacentral:rRNA from 1 species